CGGGAGAGAGGAUUAUUCCUAUUCCCGCUUUACAGACAGGAAAACCGAGGUCCAGGGAGGCAAGUGACUGGCUGAGGCUCCCACCGCCAGGCAGGACGUGGAAGACGCAGGAUUUGAACCCUGAUCUUCCCCUCUGCCGCGUGCCUGGCUCAGCAGUGUCACGGGCCUUGUUCCUGACCACAGGCUGGACAGGGUUGUGGACAUGUGGGUCCCACCUCGUCCUUACAACUGCCUCUUGACAUUGGUGUUUGUCCCAUUUCACAGCUGAGAAAAUUGAGGCUAAAAAAUGCGAAUGAUUUGCCAAGUUCAGGUGGCUGGGCAGCGCCGGGGCCAGGAUUCAGUCCUUGUCCACCUCCAGGGAGUUCUGCGACCUGCCCGGGGCCACACGGCUAACUUCAGUCCCUUCCAGGCAGCCGUCUACUCAGUGCCAGUCUUCCCCGCACAGGAGAUCACGUCGUCCCCACCUCCCCCACACAGGCUUUUCCUGGACACGGGAAUCGAGUCCGAGUUCCCUCUAGACCUGGGCCAGACAUGUUGGCCAUCCAAGAAGGACAGAUGUUUGCCCGAGGGCCCUGAAGAGGACAGGGGAGUCGAGUCCGAGCUCAGAGGAUCUUCCCAGAGACUUCAAGAAGCCAAGGGACUCUCCUCCUGUAACUGCAGACUGAAGACUCUGCUUACCGCGUGGGCCCCGUGUCCACAAAGGCCGCCCGCCCGGGAGCCGGGGUUUCCAGCUGCCUUGGAGAGAGAACCACCUGAAGGGGCCAGGUGCUGGCACAAGGGGACAUUUCCGUCGCCGUCCCCAGGUCGGGAGCGUGCAUGAGGGGCACAGGGUAUGUGCAUGUUCCUUCUAGUGUGGCUGGGUCUUGAGGGGGAGAGAACCCAGUAGGGGCCCCCUGCCCAGCAUUCCUCUGACAUGCAUUUGUUGAGUGUAUACGGGCCCCGGGAUACCAGGGGCUCUGGACACACCUCUGCCCACAAGAGUUUGGAGGUCUGCUGGGGAGACAGGCACAUGAGCACCUGAUGAUGGAACGCGGGUCCAGAGCGGGCGCGGGCACUGGAGCCCUGGAACCCGGGUGGUCGGAGCCUCAGUCCCCAGGGUGAGGACGUGAAAACUUUCCAGAGGAGACGGUUUCUGACUGGGUCUCGGAAUACGGUUCUGAUGGAUCCCAAGGAAAAGCAGGGGGCAGUGAGGGAGCCGAGCUGGAGAGAGAAGGCGGCCUGCCCCACAGUUUAGUGAGAGCCCGUCCUGCCUGGACCGGAAGGAGCCGUGGGAGGAAGCGGAAGGAACAUGCAUGCCCCAUGCGGAGGCUCCUCAUGCUGGGGGCUGGAUGUGGUGGUGACGGACAGAGGGGAAUGAGGAUGGCGUCUGGUCUCUGGCCUGUGUGUCUGGAAGGAUGGAGAAGCCCCCCCAUCGGGAGCCCGCAAGGGAGAAGGUGAUCAAUCACAGAAGUUGAUUCUAGAGUCUGGAGUGGUGUCCGUCACAGCCAACCAUUCAACUAACUCCCUCGGGGAGAGCUGUCCCCCUGCAGGGUUGGUGGCAGUGGAUGCCGUGGAAGGGGAUGCGUCUGGAGAGAACACCGCUCGCCCCUUUGCCCUGAUUGCUGGCACCUGCCUGUCUGCAGGAGACCCGUCCCAGAUCACCUUUCAGGCAUCAAUUUGUCUUCCCUGCUUUCUGCAUCCUUGACAACCAUGGACUAAGCACACAUGACAGGAGCCCGUCCCCCUGCGAGGGGACGGCUGGAGCCUGGGGGCCACAGCAGGAGCCCACUUGCUGCAGUGACCUGGACCUCAACCUAGGGUCCAUCGGAGUCCCCUGAGGACCUUAAGAGAAAGACGCCCCGCCCCCUCCCAGAGAUGGGAUUCAGCUAGCCUGGGAGGGCGCGGGCGCCGCUCAUCCUCCGUGAACGGAGAAAACCUCGGCUCCGAGGGAAAGACCACAGCUUUAGAGUCAGACCUGGAAUCCCAGCUCUUCCUCGUCUGAACGGUGUGACUUAGAUGAAUUACCCACACUCUCUGGGAGCCGGCUUCUGUUUCUGGAGGAAUGUUCAUGGUCAGUUCACCUCAGGUAACCCGCAUAACGCGGGGCGCCUGGAGCGGGAGCCGGCCUUUGGUGCCUGGCACCCGCCACACCUCCCAGCACCCCGAGAGCUUGGGUCUCCUCCUAACCCAGCCGUGCAGCUGAGUCCCCCAGCUCAGCAACCCGAGGAAAAUACGC
rnacentral:lncRNA from 1 species